CCUACGGGUGGCAGCAGUGGGGAAUAUUGGACAAUGGGCGAAAGCCUGAUCCAGCGACGCCGCGUGAGUGAAGAAGUAUUUCGGUAUGUAAAGCUCUGUCAGCAGGGAAGAAAAUGACGGUACCUGACCAAGCCGCCCCGGCUAACUACGUGCCAGCAACCGCGGUAAAACGUAGGGGGCAAGCGUUAUCCGGAUUUACUGGGGGAAAAGGGAGCGUAGACGGCAGGGCAAGUCUGGAGUGAAAGGCGGGGGCUAAACCCCCGUACUGCUCUGGAAACUGCUAGGCUGGAGUGCAGGAGAGGUAAGUGGAAUUCCUAGUGUAGCGGUGAAAUGCGUAGAUAUUAGGAGGAACACCAGUGGCGAAGGCGGCUUACUGGACUGUAACUGACGUUGAGGCUCGAAAGCGUGGGGAGCAAACAGGAUUAGAUACCCGAGUAGUC
rnacentral:rRNA from 1 species